GAUGAACGCUGGCGGCGUGCUUAACACAUGCAAGUCGAACGGGAAACCUUUUAUUGAAGCUUCGGCAGAUUUAGCUGGUUUCUAGUGGCGGACGGGUGAGUAACGCGUGGGUAACCUGCCUUAUACAGGGGGAUAACAGUCAGAAAUGGCUGCUAAUACCGCAUAAGCGCACAGAGCUGCAUGGCUCAGUGUGAAAAACUCCGGUGGUAUAAGAUGGACCCGCGUUGGAUUAGCUGGUUGGUGGGGUAACGGCCCACCAAGGCGACGAUCCAUAGCCGGCCAGAGGAGAUGCACUGCCACAUUGUGACUGAGACACGGCCCAGACUCCUACGGGAGGCAGCGGUGGGGAAUAUUGCACAAUGGGCGAAACCCUAAUGCAGCGACGCCGCGUGAAGGAAGAAGUAUCUCGGUAUGGAAACGUCUAUCAGCAGGGAAGAUAAUGACGGUACCUGACUAAGAAGCCCCGGCUAACUACGUG
rnacentral:rRNA from 1 species